GGAGAUGUACCCAAGCCCGGCUGAAGGGGACUGACUCGAAAUCAGUUAGGCGUCUUGCGGCGCGCGGGGGUUCGAAUCCCUCCAUCUCCG
rnacentral:tRNA from 1 species